ACUUUGAUUUCUCCCCUUUCUCUACUCUGAAUUUUGUCAAUUACCAUACCCCUCAAUCUGUCUUCUCUACGUGUGUGUGCUGUGUGGAAUUGGGAGUCUGUGUGGGUGUUUGUUUGCUGUGAGUGAGCAAAGAAAAUUGAAGGCCCUCCUCUGUGAAUGAAGAAGCUCUAUAUGUAUAUCUCAGUGUGUGCGUAUUGUGAAGGGAUGGUGAUGUGUGUACUUAUGGUGUGCGAUGUAGUAUCGUGAGAGUGACGAUGGAAGGAGUGGUGCUAAUUCUCUUCUGUGUGUGUCUAUAUUAUGAAUUGAAUUGUUGUUCAUGAUUGUUAUCUAAUGGUGUUAAUGGAAAAAAUGAAAAAAUUAGAGGAGAAGGCAUUGGGGU
rnacentral:lncRNA from 1 species